GACGAACGCUGGCGGCGUGCUUAACACAUGCAAGUCGAACGAAGUGGCGAACGGGUGAGUAAUACGUGGGUAACCUGCCCUCCUUUUUGGGAUAAGCCUUGGAAACGGGGUCUAAUACCGAAUAAUGGGGGAUGGGCUCGCGGCCUAUCAGCUUGUUGGGGGGGUGAUGGCCUACCAAGGCGGUGACGGGUAGCCGGACUGAGAGGGUGACCGGCCACAUUGGGACUGGGAUACGGCCAAUAGUCCUACGGGAUGCAGCAGUGGAGGAUGUUGCACAAUGGGCGAAAGCCGGAUGCAGCGACGCCGGAUGGGGGAUGAAGGCUUUCGGGUUGUAAACCUCUUUCGCAAUCGAACGGGUAGGUGAAGAGGAAGCCCCGGAUAACUACGUGCCAGCAGCCGCGGUAAUUC
rnacentral:rRNA from 1 species